GACGAACGCUGGCGGCGUGCUUAACACAUGCAAGUCGAACGAAAAGAGGGAAAGAGCUUGCUCUUUCCGGAAUUGAGUGGCAAACGGGUGAGUAACACGUAAACAACCUGCCUUCAGGAUGGGGACAACAGACGGAAACGACUGCUAAUACCGAAUAAGUUCCAAGAGCCGCAUGGCCCAUGGAAGAAAAGGUGGCCUCUACCUGUAAGCUAUCGCCUGAAGAGGGGUUUGCGUCUGAUUAGCUGGUUGGAGGGGUAACGGCCCACCAAGGCGACGAUCAGGAGGCGGGCUGGGAGGAUGAACGGCCACACUGGAACUGAGAAACGGGCCAGACUCCUACGGGAGGCAGCAGUGGGGAAUCUUCCGCAAUGGGCGAAAGCCUGACGGAGCAACGCCGCGUGAGUGAUGACGGCCUUCGGGUUGUAAAACUCUGUGAUCCGGGACGAAAAGGCAGAGUGCGAAGAACAAACUGCAUUGACGGUACCGGAAAAGCAAGCCACGGCUAACUACGUG
rnacentral:rRNA from 1 species